GUGCAUCUGAGGGGGUUAAAAUAGAGCCUUCAGAGGUGCCCUUCCCCUGGGCGGCUGCUCCACUGGCGCAGGUUGGGGGGGAUGAGGUGGCAGGGUUGGGGGUCGAUGAUGUGUUUUGUUGUCGCUGGUUCACAAGGUUGUGGUGUCUUUGUGGGCAGCAGUGUAGACAGAUGGCAAGAAACAUCAGGGAACCUGACCUUGGGGGUAGGUGUGCAGUGUUUUGGGGGGCCAGGCUAGCAUGCCCCUCCAACUGUACUCCCCUUUGUUGUGUCCGUGGCCUUAUUGUUCCAGCGUCCUUUGUUGUGACAUUGAUCAUUGUCAUGUCAACAUACUGCCAUGAAAAUAACACUCUAUGCUUAGGUGGCGGAGAUGGAGUGGGCAUAUUGGAGAAUCUACGAUCAUCUUCUGAACUUCAUGGGAACGGGGACUUUUUUUUUUAGCUAUUAGAAAUCCACAUUCACAAUAUGUAAUUGUUCUCCUUUUUUUUUUUUUAAAUGUUCUCCAGAUUGCAAAAAUAUCUGCCUGUGAGAACUCAGGAGGACUGACUUUGUGGGCGCAAAGGUAGUGAGUGAGUCAUGCCUGCGAGCACGGAAAGGAGUUCAUCUGCACCUCUUCGAGGAAGGUUCCCAGGUUCCCUGUUUAUGCAGUCAUGGAAGGAUGCGGAACUAGGAGGGAGAAAAGUGGAAGAAACAGCGGCACGUUCCCAUGGAACAGAGUGAGCCACUGAGCAGGAAAGGACAGACGGGUACUGAGAGAAGCUGGUGGGUCAUCCUGCAGCCUAGCAGAGGAAAGAAAAACAGACUCCGGUGUUCUUGAACAGUGGGUCUCGGUUUCCCUGUCUCCUUACCAUGGACAUGUUCCCCGUCUGCAGUGCGAACUUCUGACUAUGCCACAGGCAUGUUAAGUACCAGAAAGUUAAUGGCGCAGAAUCCUGCUGACCUCGUGGUUCGCAUCUCAGCGCCUUUUCCAGCCUCGAACCUGAGCGUUGCUAGAGGCUGGCGACUCCGGACAUGCAUCUGAGCAGUUAUCUGCUGGUGGCCUGGUUCCUGAGGUAACAAGUGGGCGUCCCGGGCGAGUGUGUGCUAAUAACGACUGUGAUGCCACGUGGUGCCCAGAGGUCGCUGCCAUCUGUCCCGGGGACUCCUGGUCCUCGGGGCUUUGGAGAUGAACUUGUGAACUUGGGGCGUCCUGUGAAGUGCAGGCAUCGCGGAGUGCCACAGCAAAUCUGGACGUGAGCAUAAACACAGCUUUCAAAGUGAAAGCAGGGGCCUCGAGGAAGGAAUUGCCCUCAUCUCAUUCCGGACCUGCUCACUGUGCUGUGCUGGAAAACAAAGUAAGUUUUGUUUGUUUCUUUGUUAGCCAAUCGCUCCUACAUGUUUUCUCUUGCUAACAUUAUAUUAGACACUCCGUAUCUGGCAAACGCCAGGGUGUUUUCCCCCUUCAUUGGGAAGUAGGAUAUGAAGUUUGUUAAAUAGCUAAUUGCUUCUUUUAUCUUUUCUGUCCUUCUUCCUGUAUCUAGCGCCCUGCCGGCUUGCUUGUUAGAGAUAGCAAGAGAUUGAAAUUUAUUAUCAGAAAACAAAAAGGUCUUUUUUUU